rfam:Triticum aestivum genome assembly, contig: Triticum_aestivum_CS42_TGACv1_scaffold_179329_2DS
AAGAUACUCCCUCCGUCCCAAAGUUCUUGUCUUAGAUUUGUCUUGAUACAGAUGUAUCUAACACUAGAAUGUGACUAGAUAAAUCCGUAUCUAAACAAAUCUAAGACAAGAAUUUUGGGACGGAGGGAGUACAAG